GUGGGGAAUAUUGGGCAAUGGGCGCAAGCCUGACCCAGCAACGCCGCGUGAGGGAAGAAGGCUUUCGGGUUGUAAACCUCUGUCCUUGGUGACGAAAAAAAUGACGGUAGCCAAGGAGGAAGCCCCGGCUAACUACGUGCCAGCAGCCGCGGUAAUACGUAGGGGGCGAGCGUUGUCCGGAAUUACUGGGCGUAAAGGGUGCGUAGGUGGCCUUUUAAGUUGGAUGUGAAAUACCCGGGCUUAACUUGGGGGGUGCAUCUAAUACUGGAGGGCUAGAGUGCAGGAGAGGGAAGCGGAAUUCCUAGUGUAGCGGUGAAAUGCGUAGAUAUUAGGAGGAACACCAGUGGCGAAGGCGGCUUUCUGGACUGUAACUGACACUGAGGCACGAAAGCGUGGGGAGCAAACAGGAUUAGAUACCCGGGUAGUCC
rnacentral:rRNA from 1 species